UUCAUUCUCAAAGAAAAUAAAACAAAAGUUGCUAUCAUUCAUGUCCCAUCAACCUAAUCUACUUCUUCAUUUUAAAACCAACAAAAACAUGUGCUUGGUACACACUGUUCCGUAACUCUUGGCAAAUCCCAUCAAUUAAAUAGCCCUCUUUUCUUGCACUUAACUAGCUCCUAUUCCAUCCAGCUUUUCCCUAAAAUGUUGUAGACCCACAUCUCCAUUUAUCAAGUCGUCUCUUCACUCACUCUCCCUUGUACUCUUCUCAUUCCAUUAAAUAAUUAAAACAAAAAUUCCCUUAACUCU
rnacentral:lncRNA from 1 species